GGAGCCGCGCACCUCCUCACCUCUCCUCCGAACAAUGCGUGCACACCUCGGGCCUCGGCUCCUGACCGUGCCUCUCCUCCUCUGCAGGUGCAGAUCUGGAAGAGACUGGAAAGGAGGGUGCGAAAAGCAGGGAGGUGAUGAGGCUCAAUAAAGAAGCGAAUGCGGUUUGUCCAAGGUUGACUUCUACUGGCAUGUAGAUCUGUGGAGAGAGGAUUACAAAGUUGCAAGCAUUUACAGAAGAUGCAAAAUUUGAUGCAUAAAUGUAUGUGCCACAAAAAAAAAAAAAAAAAAAAGGCAACUUUAUCUGCUUAUCUAAUCAGGAAGGUGAAACAGAAUUGUGUAACUUAUCUGACAAAUCACUACCAGCCAACCAGCUUAGCUAGAAGAGGGGUUAUUGGAAUUGGAGCAGCAUUUGGAAUUUAUGUUGAAUUUUUAAAAAGUUGAAUGGCGAAUUUGAAGAAUUGAAGAUUUUCUUAUAGAUAGCAUGAAUAGCAAAGAGAGUCCGUAUUUAUUUGGCAAUUUGUGCCCUGUAAACAUUACCAUAACUGCAAGCUUAAGACAGAUACUGUGGUACUUUAUUAUUGGCAAUAUCCUGUACCUGAUUUUAGAUUAAUUUUGAAGGUAUAUGUUCUACUUUGUACAUUUAAUCACAUUCUUCUACUGUUUUCUUAUUUUUUUUUCCUUUAUUAAUAUGUAUGUAUAAUCAGUUUAGCAAAUGUGCAAGGAUUAAGUGCUGGGACUAUUUCCAGGCAGACACUGCCUGUAAAAGAGCAAAAGAUACCCUGUGCAUCUUCCCUAACUACAGCAGAGUUAGAUGUGACCUGUGGGAUUUAGAUCUAUAUCUGGGUACUUGGUGUCAUAGCCAGCUUCAGAUUCUCAGUUCAUUGGGUUUGUAUUAUUGAGGUUUCAAUCUGAUGUGUGUGUUUUGUCUUAGAUAAUCUUUUCAGUAACCAUUCUGACUCGUUGUUUAGCAUUAAGGAUGUUAUAUAAAAAUGGCUCUAUUCUGUUUUUCUGAUUUCUGUGUUUAAAAUUUGAGAUUUUCAGUAUGAUGCUUGUAUAUCUCCAAACAUGACAAUUUUACUUGAAGCUUACAUAUGUAAAGUAGAACUUAAAAUCUAUUGGUUUUCCAAUACUAACUUUUUUUUUUUUUUUAAACUUUCCAUAUGAAUAUCUGAUGGAGAGUUACUUGGUAAAUGCUCUGGCACCAUCAGAACUAAUCUAAGAGGAUUCCAAUUAAUUUUUCUUUCAGGAUUUUGUUCUUCAGUGAAGCAUCUUGAUGCAUUUAUUAUUCUUCGUAGGGGAAAAAAAUAAGAAGUUAAGGAGGUUGGGAGAUGGCAGGGAACACUUCAGUACAGAAGAAGGAUGUAGCAUAUAGUAUUGUUUUGUAUGAGAAAUGAGGAAGAAGACUAAAAUUAUUUAUGAGGAUAUUGUGAAAGAAGGGAAGACAAAAACAGCUGGUUGAUGUAAGCAUAGAGUUCGGAGUUGAUUUUAUUAUUAUUUUUUUAAUUAUUUUAAUUUUAGUUUGUUUACUAGUGGCUUGUGAAUGGUGCCGUCUCCUUUGGAAACAUUUCAAACAAAAACUGUAGAAUAAAACUUGUUUUUAUUCCCUCA